rnacentral:rRNA from 1 species
UACGUAGGGGGCUAGCGUUGUCCGGAAUCAUUGGGCGUAAAGCGCGCGUAGGCGGCCAGAUAAGUCCGGUGUGAAAGUCACAGGCUCAACCUGUGAAUGCCGCUGGAAACUGUCUGGCUAGAGUCCGGAAGGGGCGAGUGGAAUUCCUGGUGUAGCGGUGAAAUGCGCAGAUAUCAGGAGGAACACCAAUGGCGAAGGCAGCUCGCUGGGACGGUAUUGACGCUGAGGCGCGAAAGCGUGGGGAGCAAACAGG